rnacentral:lncRNA from 1 species
GGCCAUAUGACUAGUGCUGCCCAAUGGACUGUGAACAGAAAUGACAGCAUCACUCGCAUGGAGACUCCUCCAUCUCUGUCUUCCCUGUUGUGACAGUCUCAGAGCCUACGUUCUUUCAAUGGCUGGGCUACAAGAUGGUGACAGGCUGCCCAACCUGACACAGCAAGAAGGCGGCCAUCUGCAAACCAGAAAGAGAGCCCUCACCAGGAACCGGAUCUGCUGGCACCUUGAUCUUGGACUUCCUAUCCUUUAGAGCUGUGAGAAAUGUCGCCCCCAGGUCAAUGGGAUAUUUGUUACAGCACCAGGUACUGCCUGAGAACUCUACCUUUAGGGAGCCUGCGUGCUGGGUCACUGGGGAGACAAUGAAGGUGCUUGACACCCAGUUUGAAUAUUGUGUCACUGCAAAGCUGACUGCUGUUGAAGGAUAGCCAGUGAGAGGUCAUGGCAAGCCAUCAGAAGAAGCAGAAGUCAUGAGCAUGCUGAAGCUAUGAGGCCAAGACAAAAUGUCACAUUGCCACAAGAAGAGGGACAAACAGGCAACAGGCAGAGCCCAUGGGAAUCAGUAAUCUCCUGCUGACACUGAGGCCUUGGGACUAACUCAGAUCCAGUACUACUCUCUUGGGACCUGUUCUGACUCCAGCUCCUGUCCUUGGGGUCCACUGAGAUCCCUGUAGCCUUGUAAUAAGCCCACAUUAUCAUAUUUCCCCUGCCGGCUCCACCCUAGAGCAUUUCCAACAAUUUCCAGUGCUUUUCCCCUUCUCAUACCACUGGGCCUUUGCACGUGCUCGUGCCUCCCCAACUUGCCCUGCCUUCUCCUUCACCCAGACAACUCCUACUAAAUCUCUCAGACUCCUCAGCUGUGUCCCUUCCUAGGGGAGGACUCUCUUCCCUCCAGUGAGCCCGGUGGUCCUCCCUGGGAUCCCCUGCUCCUUGUCUUCCCUGCCGUCCUUACUGCCAUCCUUGUUCUCUACUCAGAAGGAGGCAGAGGCUGGCCUGCCCCCAAUCCCCUGUAGACUGACCAGAUGAAUUGACCUGGGCUGGGCAGGGCAGGCGUGUUUGACCAGUUGUCUGGGCACCCCAUGGCUCAGUCAAGUUGACACAUAAAGUUCACCGCCCCAGGGCCCCUUCGUUGUAUUUGUGUAUGAAUAAAACACAGCAUCCACUCCAGGUAUCUGAGGGUCCUGGAGGCAGGUUUUGUGAUCCCUUUUUACAGAUGAGGAUGCGGAGGUCCAGUUGUCACUCACCCAGAUCACACUCUCAUCUGCUGAUGGGAGGAGUAUUUGAUGGGAUGUGUGAGCCCGGCCGUCUCCCUUGGGACACAUCAGCUCAUUAAAUUUGCCAGCCCCUGCCUGAAAAAGUAUUUAAUUUGCCUUUUACAAUGCACCCAUUGCAAGUUAAUUAACUGGCAAUUGAAAGUUAUAGGUGGCAUUAGAAUUUAUUAAUAACAUUGGGAAUAAAUCUCCCUGGAAUUCAAUUAACUGAAAAAAAAAAAAAAAAAAAAA